rnacentral:snoRNA from 1 species
UUAGCUGUUUCAUUAUUUACAUCAUCCUAACACAACUUAAGAAUUCUUCUUAGGCCACGAGGGGGAGGAGGAGGUGCAGUGUUCCCUCCUGAGCAUGAUGCUGGCUUUAGGUAUUGAUCUUAGGUAUUGAUCAUUCUUCUCCUUUGGAGGAGUAAGCGGGAGAGGAUGCAGUCUGAGUGCU